GUUUCUAAAUAAAAACAUCAUUUCGACAGUAUUUAUUACAUAGGAAAAAGGGGUGUGGUAAGAUGCUGCCAUCUGUUUCAUGUCAAUCAAACACCUUUCCCUUUGUUCUAUCACAAACGUCAAAUGCUAUCUUCCCCCACCUUAUCCUUCCUGCCAUAAUGUUUACCCAAAGGGUCAACUGACCUUACUGCCCCCUGUUGUAUCUUCUCCUAUCUUGUCCUAAAACCCAUUGAUCUGCAUCUGGACAGACAAUAGAUGUCCCCUAUGCAAAUACCAGGUCCCACACAUUCCUGUACCUAUCUUAACAGUGGGACUCAGUCCUUUAUACAAUCAGAAUACAUUGUAUAAGAAAUUUCCACAACACUAUACACAAGAAUCUUACAUAUUACUGUAUUGCAUAUCUCUUGACAUUUACAUUGCGGUCCGAGACAACUUCGGUAUUGGUUGUAUGUUUGUGUUAUUUUUUUGUGUGUGUUAUCAAUCCAACAGGCACAUUUACUGAGACACAAGCUGAAGGCUAUCAUUGACUUAAAUUAUCCUAUAAAUGUUUGCAAAUUGUCUUUGUAUGAUCAUUUUGAUGAUGCCAAAAACAUUACAUUUUAACUUUGGUAUGUAUAGAAAUGUUUAAUGGUGAACGAGUGCCAUUUUCUUGCAAGUAAAUUACUUUUACAAAUGUUUUUUCCUCAGAUUUACAGAGAACAUGUACCCCCUUGCCAUGAAGACCCUAUUUUCUCUUGAUAUCUGAAGAUGUGCAGCAGAAUUAGUCUCAGGAUAAAGAUGCCAAAAGGUUGUUCUUACAUAUCAACACCUGGGGACUGCUUCUACUGUGUUCAAUAUUCAGGAGCAAUGCACAGAGGGAGCUGGCCCCUAUUUAAGGAAUACUUUAUUCUGGAACUGUUUAACAUUAAGAAUUGUAUUAACAUAUCUAAACAGUAUAACAGCAAGACACUGCCUUGACUAUUUACAUCAUAGACCCCCAUGCCUGUUAGUUGAUUCUAAUGAUUUAAGUUCCAGUGCCCAUAGUUGUGAAGACAGUGUUGAUUCUGUGUGGCCAAUGCAUCCUGCUAAAAAUCAGAAGUAGUUGUGUGUGUCAUUUAAGAACUCAACAGGAUUUUCAAAAAGAAAAAUAGAGUUCACUGAAAAAUGUGUGUGUGUGUGUGUGUGUGAUGUCUUGGAGCUAAUGUUAAAAGCUGUGUAAUUAACAAAUAUUCCGCUUACAUUCUGUCUAAACAGCAGAGCGAUUCAGAUUCUAUUUGAUUACAAGAUGAACAACUCUGAUAUUAAAGGACUUCAACUUAUUUUUCAUAGCAUUGGGUUUAAAAGGUGCUGUCAACUCCGCUUUAAAUUUAAAGCAAUUUAACAGAAGAAUGAUAAAUGAUAGAGACCCAUCUCCUACUGUAAAUAACCUGCACGUUUUGUGUGUACAGCCAGCCAGAUAGAAAAAUGGCAGAAAAGACUGACACCAGGGCAUUUUUCAUUUACGCAAAGUAAGAACACUAGUAACCUAAUCUCAAAGACUAGUUGAUAAAAUGUUCAUAAAAAUGUGGUGAAAUGCUAAUGAUGUCCUUAGGCAGAGCAGGCACCAGAUGGCACACAGACAAUAGAGCUGGGGACAGAGGCAGGGGCAGAGACUGGGAGUCCCAGUUUCAGAAACUAUCACAGCAGGGACUGGAGUAGCAACAGACCCCUCAGCCUCGUCUUUGGAUUUGAUACAAGGUGAGUUUAUAUCAAUAUUAAAACAAACCAUGUUUAGCCAUUUUGACUGAAAUGUGUUAAGUAACACUAAUAUCUUAAUGUAUUUCAUUAUACAACAUUACAAUUAGGAUAAGUUGCGACAGGUGGCAAUAAG
ensembl:lncRNA